GUCUGGUUCGACCUUCUCCAAGCUUCUCUCCGGGCUGUCUCUACUGGACGGAUUACUCCUGCUCACCCUGCUGGUGGAUAAUGGUCUACCAGCUGUCUGGGGGGAACCUGAAUGGUAUAUUCUCCUCGUCCCGACUAUCUACCCUAUCAAGGGUAUGUUGAUAACAGCGACAAUAUACUGUGUUGUUGUCAUAUCUGGACAGAGACAGCGAGCUAUAGUUCAACCUCUCAAGGCUAAGAGUGGGUUUUUAACAUGUUUCAUCUUCGUGAUUGUUCUGAGCGUGGCGGUCAAUCUACCAAAGUUUCUAGAAUUUAGGGU